UAAAAAAAUAUAUUUAUAGUAACCAUAACAUCAAUGUUUAUAAAGGAAAUGUAGAAGUAAGAGAGUUACGUGAGCAUGACGCAUUGUAAAAGAAUUUGCUGUGACGUGUUUUCCCGACCCACUUGAUGUUCUCAAGAAAUACUUACUGACCUUGUUUAAGACAAGUACACAAUGAAAGGGCAUUAAAACUUGGGAUAUCAUCUUUUUACCGGCCAUGGCCUCUAUGACUCAACGGACGACUAAGGAAGCUGUUAAUUUCCCUUCGGUUUCCACAUAAACGUUCCUAUGGAUACUCGUCAUUUAUUGAACCACAUACUAGUGCAUUAGUGUCUGGUUUCAGUAGGAUAGCUGUAUAGGAAUCCUUAUAAAUACUUAUUAAUAUCACAGGAUAAAAACAAAGUAUAAUCUAUGUUGAUGUAGUUUAAUAUCUCAAAUAGAAAUAAAAAUAUCGAACCAUUU